rnacentral:snRNA from 1 species
GCACAUAUACUAAAAUUGAAUGAUACACAAAAGAUUAGCAUGGCCCAUGUGCAAAGAUGACAUGCAGAUUCAUGAAGCGUUCCAUAAAAGG